rnacentral:rRNA from 1 species
GGACUUGAUGAGGAGCUUGCUCCUCUGAAGGUUAGCGGCGGACGGGUGAGUAACACGUAGGCAACCUGCCCUCAAGACUGGGAUAACUACCGGAAACGGUAGCUAAUACCGGAUAAUUGAUUCCUUCACCUGAGGGGAUUAUGAAAGGCGGAGCAAUCUGUCACUUGAGGAUGGGCCUGCGGCGCAUUAGCUAGUUGGUGAGGUAAUGGCUCACCAAGGCGACGAUGCGUAGCCGACCUGAGAGGGUGAACGGCCACACUGGGACUGAGACACGGCCCAGACUCCUACGGGAGGCAGCAGUAGGGAAUCUUCCGCAAUGGACGAAAGUCUGACGGAGCAACGCCGCGUGAGUGAUGAAGGUUUUCGGAUCGUAAAGCUCUGUUGCCAGGGAAGAACGUCUUCUAGAGUAACUGCUAGAAGAGUGACGGUACCUGAGAAGAAAGCCCCGGCUAACUACGUGCCAGCAGCCGCGGUAAUACGUAGGGGGCAAGCGUUGUCCGGAAUUAUUGGGCGUAAAGCGCGCGCAGGCGGUUUGUUAAGUCUGGUGUUUAAACCUGGGGCUCAACUUCAGGUCGCACUGGAAACUGGGAAACUUGAGUGCAGAAGAGGAGAGUGGAAUUCCACGUGUAGCGGUGAAAUGCGUAGAUAUGUGGAGGAACACCAGUGGCGAAGGCGACUCUCUGGGCUGUAACUGACGCUGAGGCGCGAAAGCGUGGGGAGCAAACAGGAUUAGAUACCCUGGUAGUCCACGCCCGUAACGAUGAAUGCUAGGUGUUAGGGGGUUCGAUACCCUUUGGUGCCGAAGUUAACACAUUAAGCAUUCCGCCUGGGGAGUACGGUCGCCAGACUGAAAACUCAAGGAAUUGACGGGGAACCGCACAAGCAGUGGAGUAUGUGGGUUAAUUCGAAGCACGCGAAGAACUUACC